CCUACUUGCCCCGGGGGGACAGUCAUGGCCGCUGGUCUAACAAUGCACCUGGCUGGAUCAGGAACAUCCACUUUUUCUCCAAAUGAAAGGUUACACACAAGAAACCAUUAGCUAACUGCUGCCACCACUACCGCCAAGACAAAAUGAGGAACUAAGACUGACCACUAAACACGAAGCCUUGGCUAACUGGGGAGCUAGGAGGUCAGUGAAGAGGAACAGAAUUUUUUUUUCUGCCAGGUACGGUGGCUCACGCCUGUAAUCCAAGCACUUUGGGAGGCUGAAGUGGGUGGAUCACUUGAGGUCGGGAGUUCAAGACCAGCCUGGCCAACAUGGUGAAACCCCAUCUCUACUAAAAAUACAAAAACUGUCCAGCCGUGGUGGUAGAUGCCCGUGAUCCCAGCUACUCAGGAGUCUGAGGGAGGAGAAUCGCUUGAACCUUGGAGGCAGAGGUUGCAGUGAGUCAAGAUUGUGCCAUUGCACUCCAGCCUGGGUGACAAGAGUGAAAUUCUAUCUUAGAAA
rnacentral:lncRNA from 1 species